rnacentral:rRNA from 1 species
GUCCACGCCGUAAACGAUGUAAACUAGCCGUUGGUUCUAUUUAAUAGAAUUAGUGGCGCAGCUAACGCAUUAAGUUGACCGCCUGGGGAGUACGGCCGCAAGGUUAAAACUCAAAUGAAUUGACGGGGGCCCGCACAAGCGGUGGAGCAUGUGGUUUAAUUCGAUGCAACGCGAAGAACCUUACCUACCCUUGACAUCCAGAGAAUCUGUUAGAGAUAGUAGAGUGCCUUCGGGAGCUCUGAGACAGGUGCUGCAUGGCUGUCGU